rfam:Physcomitrella patens subsp. patens PHYPAscaffold_41 genomic scaffold, whole genome shotgun sequence.
GGACAAUGACGACAUACAGAAAGGUCUCGUUCGGCAUACUGGUCCACAGACCAUGCUGACCAUUCUGAUAAGAUCACCACCCAUAAUCUGAUGUCC